UCAGGCUCCUAGAUCCUGACUUAGGCAGCUAAAUGAAUGGGUUCCUUUCCAAAGGUCUGUGACAGACUGCUGAGAAUCAGCAACUGAACCAACAUUGUGGUCACUGUUUAAACAGGCUGAGCAACAGAAAACUUACAGGACUUUAUUUCAGAGCAAGUCCAGGUACAGCAACAACUGCUACAAAUUGUGGACUUCCGGGCAGGAAGAAAUGAAGAAGUUAUCAACUAUUUCUGUAACAUAGGGAGGAAUUAAAGGAGUCUAGUGGA